CCCUGGAAGAGAAGGCUAUCGAUAUUUACAGCUUCAAUUUGUUGGGGGAGGAAACCAGUGCGUGUGCCUGGAAGCGGUGUCCAUCCCAGUCCCUGCUCCUAGAGGUAUUACUAUGGAGAAGGCUGGAGCAAGGGGGAAUAGCUCUGAAUCCAGCUGUGCUUUGCCCCCAGCUCAUCCCAGUGAUGUGGCAGUGGCAGAUUUUUUGGCUCUUUCUGAGGGAAACUGAGGCCCAAGCCCAAAUUUGAGUGCACAGACCCUGUUGGGUUUGCCUCUCCAGCAGCACCACAGGCCACGAUCAGAGGAGCAGGAGGUCACUGGCUGAGGGAUGAUUAUGGCUAUUACAUCCCAAUUCCCUUCCUUUUCCCUCCCCUUGGCUCGGAGUGCUAACAGCCAGCCCUCAGCCAUUUAGUUAAGCCCCGAUUUUUCAUUAAAAUAGCACACGUGGCUAUCAAGCAUCACAAGGUCACGGGGCUGCAUUGUCUCAGCUUAAUAUGAUGCCAUUAAGGCUGGACCAUCACGCCUGGGAUACAGCAGGUUCAGCAGCACAAGAUCAAGCAUUGGGCAAGACUGCAAUUUCCUCCUGUCCUCCUGCUAUGAUCUUAUCAAAGGCUGACUGAUCUCCAUGUACCAAAUCGUGCUGGAGAGCAUUAAAUAUCCAGAGAGGCUCCGUUUGCAGCAGCCCGUGGGGAGGCUGGGUCACACCCCGCUCCCUUUGUGCCACACCAUCCCUCUCCUGGCUCAAGCAGCCAGGCUGAGAAAUCUGUCUUUUAUCUUCCUGUCUGAGCUACAAGUGCCUGCAUGAAGUCCCUUUAUUUCACCACGCAGAGUUUCUGGCCCAGCAGGGCCCUGCUCUCCGUACCCAACGAGAUGCAGCAAGGCUGGAGAACAAUUAUGGAACAGAAGCAGAGGAAGGAAAAGCCAAGAUUGGGAAUUGUCUGGUGGCUUUGUUGAGCCAUGCAAAGAGGUGGCACUCACUGACUCCCUGGCACUGGUGCCAGGUGUGUACGUGUGCCCAGGUGGGAGGUUUUGUGCUCAGAUGAAAGCGUGUCAAUAAAGGCAGGGUUGUGUGAGCAGCAGCCCUGCCAAGGAGGAAACAUUUCUCAAGAUCCCCACCAGAAGGGUGUGCAGAGCAAACACGAGUGAUGUUUCAUCUCAGAGGAUGCCAAGCCCCGCUGAGAGGGGGGAAA